rnacentral:rRNA from 1 species
AGUGAACGCUGGCGGUAGGCCUAACACAUGCAAGUCGAACGGCAGCACAGUAAGAGCUUGCUCUUACGGGUGGCGAGUGGCGGACGGGUGAGGAAUACAUCGGAAUCUACUUUUUCGUGGGGGAUAACGUAGGGAAACUUACGCUAAUACCGCAUACGACCUACGGGUGAAAGCAGGGGAUCUUCGGACCUUGCGCGAUUGAAUGAGCCGAUGUCGGAUUAGCUAGUUGGCGGGGUAAAGGCCCACCAAGGCGACGAUCCGUAGCUGGUCUGAGAGGAUGAUCAGCCACACUGGAACUGAGGCACGGUCCAGACUCCUACGGGAGGCAGCAGUGGGGAAUAUUGGACAAUGGGCGCAAGCCUGAUCCAGCCAUACCGCGUGAGUGAAGAAGGCCUUCGGGUUGUAAAGCUCUUUUGUUGGGAAAGAAAAGCAGCAGGUUAAUACCCCGCUGUUCUGACGGUACCCAAAGAAUAAGCACCGGCUAACUUCGUG